UGAGAGUUCAUCUCGUUAAUAUCAUAUCAUCAGCUUGAAUAAAAUUUAAUACUUCUGGACUUGUAUACAAGUAAGUCAUGCACUCUCAAUUUUGAUCAUUUCUGUCAAGUUCGCAGUACCAUAUGAAGUGUUCUAAUUCUGGGGACUGCCAAAAAGCUUGCACCUUUUAAUUAGUUUUUCCAAAAUAGACACCCCUUUUUUAGUUGUUCAGUUUGGCAGAAAUGAAAGGAGGUUAAAACUUUUACGAAGAUAUAGAUAGAAUUUCUGCAGCUGCGACAGAUGGAGCUGUUUAAUAUGAUCUACUCAUGUAAUGAUCCUCUUGUGUUUGAGAUGCUUGUCUUCAUCAAUCAAAUACAUAUUGGAUGCAUCAUAAGCUCAAGUCCACCAAAUGUGCAGCUGCUUGAUCAUCUUGGAUCUCAUGCUCAGAUCUUUUCACUUGAUGAGUCUCCCAUUAAUGGGGGACAUGCUGCUGCAGAUGAUGGAAUUGGGCCGAAGAGGCUUUCACACGCAUGUCAAUGUGACAAGGAUGAUCUGUGCAUGCAGGAAUAAUCCAUUUAUGAUAUACAGAGUGUGGCCCCUCUCUGAGCCGCUCACAUUGAAUUUUGCCAUGGAUUCUGUGUUAUGACUCGGGAUGUAGACGAGCUUCAUUUGAUUACCUGUUGCCAUUAGCACUCAAACGUAAGCAAAGUUCAUAGGAAUGUAAUUCUUGGUUCAAACUGUUUUGUAGACGCAAAACAAAGAAGAGGUGUUACAUCAACAUUUUCUUAUGGAUCUAAUUAUCACCCUCCAUAAAUAAGAGUGAUUAAGAUCAGGAGUGAAUCGAGAUUAAUAAUUUUUCUAGUAUCCAAUAAAUAAAAAAUUAUGUAUUUUUAUUUAAUUAUAGACAUUAUCUUGUACAAAACUCGAGAAUUGAUUUUAAAUAAUUGUUAUUAUUUUUGUAAAUAAAAAGAUCUAUUGCUCAAAAGAUAAUGUGUUAUUUAUAGAAAUGUAAGUUUGACUAGAAAUCCCACCACGAGAGAUUUCUUGAAAUAUAUUAAAAAUUAAUUAUUUUGAUCAUCUUGGCUAAACAAAAAAAUGUUGGUAAAAGGAAAACUUAGGUACUAAGAUAUCAAGUUGGUAUCAUCAGCAAGAAUUGUAUAAAUUAGAGAGUCCAAUUGAUAUAGAUGAGAAGGUAUGACAUGAGAAGAUUAUUAAUAUGGUUUAAUUGUUAAUAAUUCAUAAAUACUAGGUCGUAUUUAAUAUUAUUUCUUAAUUUAUAAAUGUCAUCGGCUCAUGUUAAUCUUUUCUGUAUCGUUCUAAUUUUAUUGGAUGUUUCUAGGUUAUGCUGGGCUUUGACGAAGAUAUCAAGUGAAAAAGUUUAUAAUAUCUUGAUUUAUAGAGUAGACAUAAUUAAGAUUGAUUUAUAAAGAUAUGAUGGACUUACUAUUAUUAAUUUUAACUUAAACACUUUAAUCAAUGGUUUAAGUUUUAAUAGCUCAUUAGUUUGUUAAGAGUAUCGACACAAUGACAGGGAGAUACAUGAUUAAGCUAGUCUCACACAAUGAUAGAGUGAUGCAUGGUUAAUCCCUUUAUGCAAGAUUUACUUUUUUAACAUGAGAUGAUCAUUGUUUUCUUUGUUUUUCAUGAGUAAAGUUAGCAUGUUCUCGAAGAUAAAAGAAAAAAAAAUUGACACGACAAGAGAGGAAUGGUAGCAACAGAUUCUGAACACAAACUAAGAUUCAAAGAUGAUGCAACCUUGCUGUUGCAAAAGUAGAUGAGUAACUUGGCUCUGAUAGCUGGAAUUGAAGGUCUUCCUUCCUCUUGUUCUGCUCAGUUGCAUUAUCAUGUCAAUUUCCAGGAGAGUUUCCCAGCGACUGCUGAUCGCUGUCUUCUUGGUGACCACAAAUCUUGUCUUUCUUUUAUUCGUGUUAAUAAUGGUUGUCUGAUAGCUACAAAUUUCUCCUAUUUAGCAGUUCUUAGGAAAUUCUCAAAACCUUCACAUUCAAGAAGAUGCUGGAGUCUUUAGAUGAAAGCUAUUCCAACUUUGGGACUCGUCAAAAUCAGAAGUCAUAGUUGACUGACUUGAGGAUAGACAACAAUAUGAAAUGAAGAACAAGUGCAUGAUAUUGGCAGACAGCCUAAUUGUUGAAGGUUUCUUGGUCUACUCUUUGAAUCCGUCAGUUGAGUAGUUUCAGACUAACGGAGGAUGAUCCAAACAGGGCAUGAUAAUAAUAUUUUGUGUAUUGCAAGCUGUCCACCGCAGAUUUCUCAUGAUUAAUCUUAAGAUAAGCUGCGUAUUUUUAUUAUCUGUAAUCUAAGAUAAUUGUGUUGGUGUGAGAUGAUCCACUUUGAUCAAGUACACAAUUUCCCUCCCAAUCGAUGGAAUCAUGGUUGUGGUAAUAAUUGUUUUCAGGUGUAUGCAAAAAGGCAAAUCUACCUGUUCUGUGAAAUUUCUUGCCAGUUUCUAUGCACUACCGGUGCCAGAAAUAUGAAAAUCUAAUUAAAUACCUUGACGAAUUAAGCUGCCAUUAUGGUUGUUUUUCUAGUUUCUUGGACUCGUUUUAGACAUUACAAGUGUAUGACACUGGAUUUGCUCAGUAGAACAUCAUGGACGACCUUCUAUCAUUGUCAACCUAGAACAUCGNNNNNNNNNNNNNNNNNNNNNNNNNNNNNNNNNNNNNNNNNNNNNNNNNNNNNNNNNNNNNNNNNNNNNNNNNNNNNNNNNNNNNNNNNNNNNNNNNNNNNNNNNNNNNNNNNNNNNNNNNNNNNNNNNNNNNNNNNNNNNNNNNNNNNNNNNNNNNNNNNNNNNNNNNNNNNNNNNNNNNNNGUGCAGCAAUCAUACUGGGCAUGUCGUCAAGCUGGACCUCCAGAAUCCGCAUCCUUUCUCGGAUUUUGGUGACGAGCCAUACAACAACUGGACCUUAGGAGGUGAGUUGAGGCCUUCUUUACUUGGUCUGAAACACCUGAAGUACCUGGACCUAAGCAUGAACGAUUUUGGAGGCAUUAAUAUUCCAGAAUUCAUGGGGUCAUUCCAUCAACUCCAAUAUCUUAACCUCUCCAGAGCUGGAUUGGGUGGACUCCUGCCUCACCAGCUGGGAAAUCUCUCCAAUCUGCAGUAUCUAGACUUAUCCAAUGACUUGGAUCCCAAUUUUGUGGUUCCGGUCCGUGAAUUUAGCAUUGGUGAUGCACUCUGGAUUUCUCACCUUUCUUCUCUAAAGCAUCUCAACCUGAAGAGUGUUAACUUUCAAAAUGGUACGCACUGGCUGGAAGCUCUGAACAUGCUUCCUUCUAUUCUGGAGAUAUACUUAUCUCUCUGCGAAAUUGGAAGUGUUCCCCACUCUCUUCCGCAUGUGAACUUUACAUCACUGUCUGUUCUUGAUUUGUCCUAUAAUUUCAUUAGCUCUACGAUACCCUCUUGGUUAUUCAACAUAAGUGGCCUUGAGCAUCUUGAUCUUAGUUCGAACAACCUUCAGGGUAAUAUUCCACCGACCUUUGGUAACUUGGCUUCCCUCGAGGAACUUAAUUUAGCUAACAAUCCUCUUCAAGGAGGAAUACCAACUUCCUUCAAAAAUCUGUGCAAGUUGCAGAAUUUAAUAUUGGCAGGCAUCAAUAUCAGCAAAGAUUUGUUAGGCCUUGAUGAAAGUUUUUCUGGUUGCGUCAAGAUGAGCCUAGAGGUUCUAGGCUUAUCCGGCACGAAUAUUAGUGGGCAGUUGCCUGAAUGGUUAUUCCAAUUCAGGAAGCUUAAAUCACUCCAGUUGAAGCAGAAUCUGAUUUCUGGGCCUAUUCCUGUAUCAAUUGGACAACUAGCAUCACUCCAAGAGCUCUUUCUUGGUCAAAAUCAAUUGAACGAAACAAUACCAGAAAGCGUGGGGUGGCUGUCUCAGCUUGUUUCUUUGGACCUUGAGCACAACAAUUUGGAGGGUGUAAUGUCUGAGGCGCAUUUUGGAAACCUCACAGAAUUGAAAGACUUGUAUUUGUCGUCCAACCCCUUGGCUCUAAAGGUCAAGAGCAAUUGGCUUCCUCCCUUCCAGCUUGAAUCCCUUCGGAUGGACUCUUGCAAACAGGGUCCUGAGUUCCCUGCAUGGCUCCAGUCGCAAAAAAAUAUUUCAGAAAUUGUUAUGUCUAAUGCUAGUAUUAUUGAUGCUAUGCCAGACUGGUUUUGGAGCUUAAUUUCCACAGCAGAGUACGUGAGUUUCUCCGGCAAUCAGAUCAGUGGCCACGUACCAAAUUUAUUGCAUUUAAACAACCUCAUCGAGUUGGAUUUAAGUUCAAACUACUUGGAGGGUCCUCUUCCAUAUUUUCCUCCUAGAUUGGAAGCAUUAGAUCUAUCAAACAAUUCAUUUUCAGGAACAAUUUCACUUGCCAUCAUCAUGAAUAUGCUAAACCUCAUGUAUUUAUCAUUUUCAGAAAACAAUUUAAGUGGUGAAAUUCCCUUCUCUAUAUGCAAACUGUCGGUCUUACAGUUUCUUGAUCUUUCAAAAAAUAUGUUAUCAGGAGAGCUCCCCAGUUGCUGGAAUGAUUCUUCCCCAAUUGAAUUUAUAGAUUUUUCAAGCAACAACAUAUCUGGAGUUAUUCCUGAGUCAAUAUGUUCCAUAGCAUCGCUUCAGUCGUUGCACUUGAGCAAUAACAGUCUAUCUGGAGAGCUGCCUUUGCCCUUGAAGGACUGUGGGAAAUUAUACCUUCUUGAUGCCGGAUAUAAUAAUUUGAAAGGUGAAAUUCCAACCUGGAUAGGUGAAAGUUUAACUAGUCUGAGGUUCCUCAAUCUGCGAUCAAAUAUGUUGGUCGGAGAUAUUCCUCCAAAUCUUUCAAGAUUGAGUGCUCUCCAAUUUCUCGACCUUGCGGGUAAUGAGCUAUCGGGUACUAUUCCAAGGAGCUUUGGAAAUUUUACUGCCAUGAAAGUAAUUGAAAAUUUUUCAAGUUCGACGACAGAUCAAAUUAGAUAUAAGGAGCAUAUGUUUAUUACAACUAAAGGAGACACUCAAGACUAUGGGAAGUCACUUUCGCUUAUGAAUAUUUUGGACCUCUCGGAUAAUAACUUAUUCGGAGGAGUACCUAAAGAAGUCACAAGUCUUUUUGGCUUAUUCAGCUUAAAUUUAUCUGGAAACCAUUUCACAGGAGAAAUCACUGAAAGUAUCAGUAAAUUACAACAAUUGGAGUCCCUUGACUUGUCAAGAAACAACUUUUCUGGCACAAUUCCUUCUAGCCUCGCUGCCUUGACUUAUUUGGCUCACUUGAACCUGUCAUACAACAACUUGUCAGGGGAAAUUCCUCUUGGUAAUCAACUUCUGACUUUCAAUGAUCCAUCGAUCUAUAUUGGCAAUCCUGAUCUUUGUGGGUUUCCUCUGAAUCAAAGUUGCAAAGAUAGUGAGACAGCACAAAGUCAAAGUAAUACAGAUGAUAGAGAUGAGAAUGAGAUGAUAUGGUUCUACACGAGCAUGGCACCAGGAUUUGUUGUUGGUUUCUGGGCAGUCUGGGGUACCUUAAUACUUAACAAGAAUUGGAACCUUUACUAUUUCCGAUUUAUAGACAACAUGCUUGACAAAGUAUAUGUGUUUAUCGUACUGAAAGUUUCUAGGAUCAGAAAACGUUGUUGUUCCCAACAAGGAUGAUAAAUUUGAACAUCAAUAUCUGCUGUAUGAGAGUUCAUCUCGUUAAUAUCAUAUCAUCAGCUUGAAUAAAUUUUAAUACUUCUGGACUUCUAUACAAGUAAGUCAUGCACUCUCAAUUUUGAUCAUUUCUGUCUAGAUAGCAGUACCAUAUGAAGUGUUCUAAUCUUGGGGGAUUGCCAGAAAGCUUGCACCUUUUAAUUAGUUUUUCCAAAAUAGACACCCCUUUUUUAGUUGUUCAGUUUGGCAGAAAUGAAAGGAGGUUAAAACUUUUACGAAGAUAUACAUAGAAUUUAUGGUUUUAUUUUCCUUCUUUCUUUUUCAUCCUCUAUUUUCCCAAGUUCAUAGUAUCUACUUUCAUCAAAUGCAUUUGCAUGUCUUGUUCUACCCAAGCAUUACACGCUCAAAACUUAUUCGAUUGCGAUCACAAGUUCGGCUGCAAAAGAUUUGACCACCUUAUUCGAUUAGUUUAACUCUUAUUGAACUUAUGCACAGGUGUUUCUACCAUACGCUACUCUUGUUUAUGUAAAUCCAGUGUCAGUAUAUCUAGAAUCAGAUUUCAUUUUACAUUACUAAAUUUUUCUAGAGAUCAAGGUUUAAAUGAUCAUUAACCCUCCCUAGAGUCCACAUUGGUGAGAGCCUCUCAAGCAAAGGUACGUCUUCUUCUAAAUCUCUUCAAAUAUUAAAUUUAUCUCACAUAAAAGAGAUUUUAUAUAUUAAUGCAGUCUGAAUUUUGAUAUAGAAUAACUUGUCAUCACUGUCAAGAUAACGCGAAUUCUGCCCUACAAAGACAGCCUGAGUUAGAGCAGGAGUAGCUUGGAUCUGAAUUGCAUGUACACUGGAAUUGCUUGUGAUGGUUUCGUAUGUGCUCUCUAACCUUCAAAGUUAUGGUGCUCUCAAAGAGCAAAUAAGGUUCAUACACAAGAGACUUGUUGUAUUUGAGAUGUUACUUGUGCUUCAUGCUUUGAGUCUUACUGUAAGUUUGUAUCCUCCAAACUGUACACUGCUAGAACUAUCCGACCGAAGAAGCCAUGGAUGCAUCUGCAGUUGCAACAGAUGGAGCUGUUUAAUAUGAUCUACUCAUGUAAUGAUCCUCUUGUGUUUGAGAUGCUUGUCUUCAUCAAUCAAAUACAAAUUGGUUGCAUCAUAAGCUCAAGUCCACCAAAUGUGCAGCUGCAUGAUCUUCUUGGAUCUCAUGCUCAGAUCUUUUCAGUUGAUGAGUCUCCCAUUAAUGGGGGACAUGCUGGUGCAGCUCAUGGAAUUGGGCCGAAGAGGCUUUCGCAUGCAGGAAUAAUCCAUUUAUGAUCAACAGAGUGUGGCCCCUCUCCGAGCCGCUCACAUUGAAGUUUGCCAUGGAUUCUGUGUCAUGACUCGGGAUGUAUACGAGCUUCAUUUGAUUACCUGUUGCCAUUAGCACUCAAAUGUAAGCAAAGUUCAUAAGAAUGUAAUUCUUGGUUCAAACUGUUUUGUGGACGCAAAACAAAGAAGAGGUGUUACAUCAA
rnacentral:lncRNA from 1 species